rnacentral:rRNA from 1 species
UUGGGUUUUAGCGCCUACCAAAAAAUCUCCGCUGCUAUGCGUGUGAUUGCAUAUGGUAUUCCGGCUGACUAUGCCGACGAGUAUCUUCGCACUGGCGAAGAUACUACAAUUGAGUCAGUGCGUAGGUUUGCCAAAGUGAUGAUCCGAGUCUUUGGUCCUGUCUAUCUUCGUACACCCAAAGAAGAAGACACAAUAAAGUUGAUGGCAGCAAAUGAGAAGCGAGGUUGGCCCGGCAUGCUAGGAAGCGUUGAUUGCAUGCGUUGGACUUGGAAAAUUGCCCGAAGGCAUGGCACGGACAGUAUUGUGUGA